rnacentral:rRNA from 1 species
GAUGAACGCUAGCGGCAGGCUUAAUACAUGCAAGUCGUGGGGCAGCGCAGGUAGCAAUACUGGGCGGCGACCGGCAAACGGGUGCGGAACACGUACACAACCUUCCGAGAAGUGGGGAAUAGCCCAGAGAAAUUUGGAUUAAUACCCCGUAACAUAACGAUGUGGCAUCACAUUGUUAUUAUAGCUUCGGCGCUUCUUGAUGGGUGUGCGGCGGAUUAGGUAGUUGGCGGGGUAACGGCCCACCAAGUCUACGAUCAGAAGCUGAUGUGAGAGCAUGAUAAGCCACACGGGCACUGAGACACGGGCCCGACUCCUACGGGAGGCAGCAGUAAGGAAUAUUGGUCAAUGGACGCAAGUCUGAACCAGCCAUGCCGCGUGAAGGAUUAAGGUCCUCUGGAUUGUAAACUUCUUUUAUCUGGGACGAAAAAAGGCGAUUCUUCGUCACUUGACGGUACCAGAUGAAUAAGCACCAGCUAACUCCGUGCCAGCAGCCGCGGUAACAC